rnacentral:rRNA from 1 species
UACGUAGGGGGCAAGCGUUGUUCGGAAUCACUGGGCGUAAAGGGUGCGUAGGCGGGUCUUUAAGUCAGGGGUGAAAUCCUGGAGCUCAACUCCAGAACUGCCUUUGAUACUGAGGAUCUUGAGUUCGGGAGAGGUGAGUGGAACUGCGAGUGUAGAGGUGAAAUUCGUAGAUAUUCGCAAGAACACCAGUGGCGAAGGCGGCUCACUGGCCCGAUACUGACGCUGAGGCACGAAAGCGUGGGGAGCAAACAGG